AUUGAACGCUGGCGGAAUGCUUUACACAUGCAAGUCGAACGGCAGCACGGACUUCGGUCUGGUGGCGAGUGGCGAACGGGUGAGUAAUGUAUCGGAACGUGCCCAGUCGUGGGGGAUAACGUAGUGAAAAUUACGCUAAUACCGCGUACGAUCUAUGGAUGAAAGCGGGGGAUCGCAAGACCUCGCGCGAUUGGAGCGGCCGAUAUCAGAUUAGGUAGUUGGUGGGGUAAAGGACCACCAAGCCAACGAUCUUUAGCUGGUCUGAGAGGACGGCCAGCCACACUGGAACGGAGACACGGUCCAGACUCCUACGGGAGGCAGCAGUGGGGAAUUUUGGACAAUGGGCGAAAGCCUGAUCCAGCCAUUCCGCGUGCAGGAUGAAGGCCCUCGGGUUGUAAACUGCUUUUGUACAGAACGAAAAGGUUUCUACUAAUACUAGGAGCUCAUGACGGUACUGUAAGAAUAAGCACCGGCUAACUACGUGCCAGCCGCCGCAGUAA
rnacentral:rRNA from 1 species